rnacentral:lncRNA from 1 species
AAACCUUUCCACUUCAAUCAUUUGAUUAAUUCAUUUGAAGCUCUCAUUGUUUUUUAUUUUAGCGUUGAUUGCGUAUACGACGAGAUCGAGAAAUCAAUUCAUCAUGGCGAGCCGAACGGAUGAUCUAGUGAGCCCAGUCCAACCAGCUCACCAGCUCGACCUCGAUGCUUUGCACCGUUACGCCUCCGUUAACGUCCCUGGCUUCCCGCGCUCUCCUUCUACAUUCACUAUUUCUCAGGUAUUUGUUUAUUUUUAAUUUAUUUAUUUAUCUGUGUUUUUGAAUUUUAAUUAUUUAUUUAUUUUGCUUUUAGUUUGGACAUGGACAAUCGAACCCGACGUUUCUUAUGGAAGUAGGUUCCGGAGCGGCAGUGAAACGGUACGUUUUGAGGAAGAAGCCUGCCGGUAAAUUGCUCGAGUCUGCUCACGCUGUCGAUCGAGAGUUUCAGGUGGCAUUUCUGUAAUGUUUUACAUGCAUACAUACAUGCGCAGACUUGAAUAUAUCAUUAAAUGUCACAUUUAUCGAUUAUUUAUACAUAUAACAAUUAUAUAUAACAAAAUUCAAGUAGAAUUUUGAAUCUUUUGAUGUGACAGGUUCUUCGGGCGUUAGGUGAUCAUACUGUAGUUCCAGUUCCUAAAGUGUUCUGUUUGUGUACUGAUCCUAAUGUUAUUGGAACUGCAUUUUACAUCAUGGAAUUUUUGGAAGGACGGAUUUUUAUUGACUCAAAGUUGCCUGUAAUGCACUCUUUCUCUUUAGUCUCUUACUUGAUGAGUUGAUAAUCAAACUGAAUUAGUGUAAGAAAUUGUCUUUGGCUUGAAAUUUUGGAUUUUGGUGUUGAUAUGUCUGAUUAGGGUGUGGCACCGGCGAGGAGAAGAGCUAUAUAUCGAGCAACUGCAAAAACAUUAGCUUCUAUUCAUUCGGCUAAUGUGGAUAUGAUUGGACUGGGUAAAUAUGGGAGGCGAGACAACUACUGUAGACGGCAGGUUCUUGAAUUCUUUUUGAAACUUUUAGCUAAUUUAGUGCUUUCUAAUUUAUUUGCUUUAUAGCAAAGAACUUGAAUCUACAGCUUAGAAUAUGAAGUUGCAGUGUAGAAGCUGUAAAUUUAGAAAAAGGGAGAUAACUUAUAAUAUCUUGCAACUAAGUGGCACUUUUGAUUUUUGCUUUUUGUUUAGAUAGAAAGGUGGGCUAAACAAUAUACUGCUUCAACUGCUGAGGGUAAGCCUGCGAGUAAUCCCAAAAUGUUUCGGCUGACUGAUUGGUUACGGCAGAAUAUUCCCCCUGAAGAUUCAUCUGGAGUAGCAGCAGGCAUAGUUCAUGGGGAUUUUCGAAUUGAUAAUCUUGUAUUUCAUCCUAUUGAGGUCUGGAACUCCUAAAUUCCUUUAUUAACUUAUAUUCAAAGAUUUUUCUCUAACAUAUCUAUCUGUGUGGUUUAAAUAUAUGUCAUUAAUUUAAUUAUGAUCACUUAUUAUUGUAAAACAUUAGCUCUAUGAGUUGCAACUCUUGCUUUUUCUUGUAAAAUGAAAUAUAGAAUGUGUGGUUGUUUAUACUUGUGUUGAAUGAAAGCUCAAUUUUAACAUAUAUUUCUGAAUAGCUUAUAUAGUCUGAGUUGCACUUUUGAUAAUAACAUCUUAAUGCAGGAUCGCGUGAUUGGUAUUCUCGACUGGGAAUUAUCUACUCUUGGAAACCAGAUGUCUGAUGUCGCAUACUGCUGUCUGGUACUAAGUCAAUUCUCAACUUUAGUUUCUGUCGUGGAAAGAGCUAUACCCUCUUGCUUUGUUCCUUAUGUAGCACAGGCCAUUCUGUUGACACAUAAUAUUCCUUUUAAUGUAUGAGGGGUUUGUUCGGGGUCACCUUUAUGCUAAUUACUUAUUCCCUUUCUUGGCAGCCUUAUACUGUGGUUAUUGGGCAGAACAAACAUCUGGAUGCAGGUUUUGAAGUUACUGGAAUUCCAGAAGGGAUUCCCUCACAGGCCGAAUUUCUGGAUGACUACUGUUCUGCAUCUGUAAGACGCAUGUCUAACACUGAUUAAACUGUGGUACAUGUGCACUGUUCCACACACUCUCUGUCCCCUUUUUGUCCUCAUAUGAUGAAAUUCUGGUGAUAUUUUGAAAAUUAUUUAUUUUUUAUUAUUUUGAUUUCCUCCUUGGUUUUGUUUUAAUAUUUUCAAAAGGCUAUAAGUAUGGAUCAUGAUAAUUCAGUUUUCUGGGACUCAUGAUUUCACAAUGUUUUGUCAAGAAAAUAUGCACCACUUGCUCAUCUUAUGGAAAGUGAUGUCUAUCAAAUAUAUUGCACUACUAAAGCAUGUAAAGGAGGGGAUACUGGCUGAUAAUAAUGAAUUAAUCUAUCUUAAAUAUAGUAAGGAUGAUUGGUAAGGUUUGAUUUUUGACAUGCUCUCAAGGUUUUGCUAAUUUUCAGAUGAUAUUUACUCCCUUGUAAAUGUGAUGGUUAUUCUAGAAUUCAAAUCGGUGUUAUCCUCCUACCUUAUCGAGGACUAACUUAUACUAUGAAUGUUGAAAUGUAGGGAAAACCAUGGCCCGCCAAGGUGUGGAAAUUCUAUGUUGCAUUUGCUUUAUUCCGUGGGGCAUCAAUUUACACAGGCGUAUAUAACAGAUGGCUGCUGGUAUUCAGUGAUGAGAAAGAGAUUGAUGCUUGAGAAUUAAGUGCUACAAAAAGCUUUUGUGUUGAAAUAUCAGGCCACUUAUAUGAUAUUUCUAUUUACUGUGACCUUGCAGGGUAAUGCUUCAGGAGGUGAACGUGCCCGAUAUUUAGGAAAUCAUGCCAAUGAGCUUAUAAAUUUUGCUAUGGAUUUUAUUGCACGGAAAUCUGUGCUUCCAGAGUAUCCUCCAUCUGGUAAUUUAAUCAUUCAAAAGUAUAUUUGGACCUGAGGAUACCAAUACUUUUACACAACAUACUUUGCUUCGUAUACAAACUUUGUAUGGAAUGGAAAUAAUGGAUAUGCACUACAGUGUUUGUUUCUGUUUUUAACCUCAUAAUUUACUAUGUUUUCACAGUUCUAUAAAACAUGAUGUAGGACAUUACUAGAAGAUUUUAGGAUUUUAAUUAUUUUAGAACAUUUUAAUUUUUGCCAUUUUAAUUAGCGUCUUACUAGGUAUGUACUAGGUAUGUGUCUAGCGUUUUAUUUCUAGUUUAAUUUUGAUGUAGUUUCCCUAUUUAAGUUAACUUGGAGAAUUAUGUUUACCCUAUUGUAAAUAGAGAGAUCUUGUCGUUGUUUUUCCUAAACUAUUUUGAUUGGAAAAACCCCUCUUUUAUAAUUUGGAUUAUCUAUCAAAAUCUUUUUUAUAGAGUCGUUUGAAUUAGAGCGUUAUCUAAUCUCAUUGUAAAACAUUAAUAUCAAAAUCUUGUUACACUGUCGACUCGUUAAGAUUAUAACGAAUCUAAUAUCGCUUUGACUAGAGCAAUAAACUAAUUGCAUUGGCUAGGCCAUUAUUGGAACAAUAUCUAGUGUUUAUCUACCCUAUCAAUCCGCUUCUGCUAUCCCGCAUCAUAUUUUGUUGGCAUUCAUAUAGAGGGAGAGUUAUAAAGCCUAGAUUAUCUAAAGAACAAUGAUUAUUUGCUGUGCUGCACAGAGGUAUUAUAACUUUCCUUUAUCAUGGCUGUAGUAUAUUCAAAGAUCAUCAUUCCUUGCCUGCUAUUUGAUUUAUUGUAUGCAAAACAAUUAGCCUAAAGUAAUUUUAUUCAACUUAUCCAAUUUUAGUUGCACAAGCAGAUGCAAAACAAUUUGGAAACGGGAACAAAAUUCAAAACAUUCUAGACGAAAGAGGAAGGUUUGUUCCCAGCCAAAGGGUUCUGGAACUGAGAAACAAAUUGAUUAAGUUCAUGGAAGAUUACAUAUACCCCAAUGAAAAAGAAUUUGAAAAACUUGCUCAGUCUGAUGCCCGCUGGACGAUUCACCCAGAGGAGGAGAGGUUAAAGGAGCUGGCAAGGAAAGAGGGGUUAUGGAACUUAUGGAUACCAGUAUGUUUCCAUAUCUGCUCCUGGUCAUAUUUCUUUGUUUCUGAUUUAUGUAUUUUCCUUUACCCUUGCUACUCUUCUUAGCUAAAAAGAGGGUGGUUGGUGCUAAUUAAUUUGUUUUCUGUGAAUAUUCGUUUUAAUUGCAGUUUGACAGUGCUGCCAGGGCGAGAAAGUUAAUCUUUGGUGAGGGUCCAAAUCCUAUUUCUGAUGGUGGACGUGAUCUCUUAUUCGGGGCAGGCCUCUCAAACCUUGAAUAUGGGUACCUAUGUGAGAUCAUGGGUCGUUCGUUUUGGGCUCCACAGAUCUUUAAUUGUAGUGCACCUGACACAGGAAAUAUGGAGGUAAAUAUUAUUUCCAGGUUUGUUAGAAUCUCAGGAGCAAUCAUUUUCUGUUGCCACCAUGUUGCCCUUUCUCUUUCAUUUUUUAAAGUGCCAAUUCUAUUUGCCUAAGAAGCAUUAUUCUUGGUAAUGACGGUUGUCACUUUCGGAGUCUUAUUAUUAUUUUGAGAAAUACUUUUAUGAGCUCUUGUAAUCUGCACAAUGCCAGGAAGGAUGACAUGGUUUAUUUUUCUGCAUAUAUCAUCUUCAAGUUUGUUGGGUCUUAUUAUUAUGCUUAAGCAUUUGAUUCUAGGUACUAUUGCGAUAUGGAAAUAAAGAACAACUAGAAGAAUGGCUUAUUCCAUUGCUCGAGGGGAAGAUUCGGUCUGCAUUUGCAAUGACAGAACCGCAAGUUGCCUCUUCUGAUGCAACCAAUAUUGAGUGCUCUAUUAAACGGUAGAUUUCUCAUCAUGGUUCGUAAAUGGAAUGGACCUUUUUAUCUACUAAAUAGGGUGAAAGUUAUUUUUCGUUUUAGUGACAAAAAAUCUGAUGAAAAUCAGUAGGCAUUAUAUUUCUUUGUUAUCAUGCUUCAUUGUAUAUAAUUAUAUAAUUUAGUUAGAGUUUCUUCUCAGAAUUUUAUGACUGUUAAUGGAUUUCUUGUACAGACAAGGGGAUUCCUAUAUCAUCAAUGGGAACAAGUGGUGGACUAGUGGAGCCAUGGAUCCAAGAUGCAGAGUUCUUAUAGUCAUGGUUAGUUCUUCUAAAAUGGUGUGGCACGAAUAGUUUAUUUGUUGUUCCUGUAGCUGAAGUGGGUGAUCUGAAUCAAUCUGCAGGGAAAAACAGAUUUCUCUGCCGCUAAGCAUAAGCAGCAAUCUAUGAUCUUAGUUGAUAUCAAGACUCCUGGUGUACACAUAAAGAGACCACUCUUGGUGUUUGGCUUUGAUGAUGCACCUCAUGGGCAUGCAGAAAUUUCAUUUGAGAAUGUGUGUGUACCCGCAAAGAAUAUUCUGCUAGGAGAAGGACGCGGAUUUGAGAUUGCCCAGGUACAGUUGUUCUAUGCAUUUCACUAUCACAGGGAUGUCUGUCCUGAUUAAAACUUUUAUUAUGAGUGUAUAUACAUGUCCUGAACACAGUAGCAUGAAGAUGAAAAGAACAUGGUAGAAUUUAGUUUUUUGGCUUCUAUAGAUUGAUAACAUCUGUGCAGUGCAGUUAUUAGACCGGGUCUGUGAGUGGAUUUAUGCUAGGGACUGCAUUGUUAUUUGUGCAGGCAUACAAUUUGAAUAUUUCAUCUCCUUUUGCUUCUCUUUACUUACUUACAGGGUAGACUAGGCCCAGGAAGGCUGCACCAUUGCAUGAGACUGAUAGGUGCAGCUGAGCGUGGCAUGCAGCUGAUGGCUGAGAGGGCUCUUAGUAGAAAAGCGUUUGGAAAGUUUAUUGCUCAGCACGGUUCUUUUCUUUCAGAGAUGGCCAAGGUGAUCUAAGUUAGCUCCAGAUUUGGGAAAAUUUAUCAAAAUUCUACUGUUCUAGCUCUGAGGGGAAAUUAAUUAUGUGAUCUGAAAGUGAAUUUGGUAACCAAACUGAUCUUUUUUACCGGUGGUGUCAUGCAGUGCCGAAUAGAGCUGGAGAGGACCAGAUUGUUAGUUCUCGAGGCAGCUGACCAGCUGGAUCGCCUUGGAAACAAAAAAGCUCGUGGAACCAUUGCAAUGGCAAAGGUAACCGAUGUGCCUUCUAAUUUGAUUAUCGUUUAAUCAGAUCCUGGUUUAUUGGUUUAUUUAUAUCAAUCACCCGUAUUGUGUGAAAUUUCUUCGAUGCAUGGGCCAGGUAGCAGCUCCAAACAUGGCACUGAAAGUGCUGGACAUGGCAAUGCAAGUGCACGGUGCAGCUGGCUUUUCAACUGACACUGUUCUGUCACAUCUCUGGGCCACAGCAAGAACUUUGAGAGUUGCAGAUGGACCUGAUGAUGUCCACUUGGGGACCAUUGCCAAGUUAGAGUUACAGAGAGCUAAGCUCUGAAAAUCUCACACAGGAUAUAUCAACAAUCUGGAUUAUUUUUCUUUUUUUGUGUUUGUGUGUUUGGUGUUGGGGGGGGGGGGGGGGGGGGGGGGGUUUGGGGGUUAUAGCUUCUGGAAAUACUGGAAAUAUGUGUCUAAGCUUGAGUGAAGAGAGACUUGUCGUUACCUUGAGAUGUUUUACAUUCUCAAGUUCGGUGAUCUGGUAAUCUUAUCUCAAUCACUCUAUGCAAUUUCAUAUCUCCAGUAAUCUAAGCAAAUCAUGGACUUUCUUGUGCUUUCAGUUCACCAUAUGUGCUAGAACAAUUUUCUUAACUGCUGACAAAAGUAUAUCCGCAAUGAAUUUAAAGCUUCUAAUUGUGUUAGACACAAAGUUCAGUUCAUUAAAUUUAAUAAUCUACUUGAUGGUUUAAGACUGAUAUAUUAUAAACUAUCCUAUGUGAUUUUGAUUCAGGAAAAGUCCAUCCGGCCAGCUGUUGAUGAGCAGCACUGAGCUUCAUCUGCUAAAGCAGCUUUCUACUUUGUUACUCUUUAUGUGCUUAUGUAUGAAGUUGCUGCUGUUGUUUUUAACUCUUUUUCAUUAUGUAUUAAAUAAUGUGGAAACUCCCUGUUGACGAUUAUCAAGCCAUAAGCAACAACAAUGAACGACAACAGCUUAGACAGGAGUUGCUAUUCUAACAUUCAGCGUGAAUUUUUAUAAUGGAAAAACUAUAGAAUGACAAACUCUUGCAUUUAUUAGGGAUGUUCAGAAUCUAAUCUGAUCCGUUCAAUCCGUCUUAUCCAUAGAAAUUCAAUCUAAAAAAUUCUAUCUGUGGAUUUGUGGAUUGAAUUUGAUCGAAAAUUUGAUAAUCCGCAAUCGGUAGAUUGGAUAUGUAUCUACUUCUGUAAAUCUGUAAAAAUCUGCGAAUCUGUAAAAAAAUAAAAAGUAUUUAUUUAAUUAAAAAAUAAGUUAAAAUAUGGUAUUAGUACUUACUAGUAAAUAAACAAAUUAAAAUAUAGUUACAUUAACAUUAUAUUAUAUCUUAUCCGAUAAUAAUAUAAAAUAUAAAAUAAUUAAAUAAAAAAAUAUAAUUUUCUAAAUAGUUAAUUUUCAUGUACUGAUUUAAACGAAUGAGAUUUUUUUUUUUGUUUUGGUGUGUUAUGUUAUGAAACUUUAAAUGUAUUUUCUAGUUUUAUUUAAACAAUUAAUUUAUUUAAAUCUUAUUUAAUUUUUAAUUUAAUCGGUAAUAAAAUUAUUUUUAUAUUAAGUUUUUUUUUUAUUUAGUUAGUUCGUAGAUUGGACAGGAUUAAAAUUUUUUAAUCCGAAAAAUGGUGGAUUGGAUAUGGAUUGGAUUAAAUCCUCAUCUAAUCCGCAGAUGUAUGGAUUGGAUUUGGAUAGUGGAUUGGACACUAUUAAAAAAUUUUACUCCGCAAACCAAUCCGUAAAAUGGUGGAUUGGAUAUGGAUUGUGUUAAAUCCUCAUUCGAUCCGCAUAUGUAUGGAUUGAAUUUGAAUUAAAUUUCAUCAAUCUGUGAAUUGAAUUGAAUUGAAAAUUUAUAAUUCGCAAAAUUAUGGAUCAGAUAUGGAUUGAGGUUCAAUCCAUAUCCGAUCCGCGAACACCCUUAAUAUUUAUAAAUAAAUUUGUUUAGGUUUGAUGUGGUAAUUAAUAAUUUUUUGAAUAAAAAUAAAAAAAUAAAAAGAAAUCAUUUGAUCCUAUCAUAAUUUUAAUUCAAUAUUAUUUCCAUAAAACUGUUAACUGGAUUAUUUUGAUUCAUAAACUAUGUUUCUAUAAUACCGACAGCUUCUCGCCUAAAAAGUAUCUCAAACCUCGAAAGUUUCUUAAAACAGAAAAUUUUAUCCAAAACAAACAUCACGUCACGCGACUCAUAACGGCGCGUCACACCACCCGCAACAUCCAUUUCCUCACUCGAGCGACGCAUUCAACACCAAUAAACUACUACAACAAUGUUAUAAUAAAAUAUAUACAUAUAUAUUAUAUUAUAUCUCGAGAUAAUGAUGAGAACAAAACCUUUCCACUCCAAUCACUUGAUUAAUUCAUUUGAAGCUCUCAUUGUUUGUUAUUUAGCGUUGAUUGCGUAUACGGCGAGAUCGAGAAAUCAAUUCAUCAUGGCGAGCCGAACAGGUGAUCUAGUGAGCCCAGUCCAACCAGCUCACCAGCUCGACCUCGAUGCUUUGCUCCGUUACGCCUCCGUUAACGUCCCUGACUUCCCGCGCUCUCCUUCUAAAUUCACUAUUUCUCAG